rnacentral:rRNA from 1 species
ACGAACGCUGGCGGCGUGCUUAACACAUGCAAGUCGAACGAUGAAGCYKGGUGCUUGCACUGGGUGGAUUAGUGGCGAACGGGUGAGUAACACGUGAGUAACCUGCCCUUUACUUCGGGAUAAGCUUGGGAAACUGGGUCUAAUACCGGAUAUUCUGCAUGRUCGGAUGGUUGUGUAGGAAAGAUUUUUUGGUAAGGGAUGGGCUCGCGGCCUAUCAGUUUGUUGGUGGGGUGAUGGCCUACCAAGACGACGACGGGUAGCCGGCCUGAGAGGGCGACCGGCCACACUGGGACUGAGACACGGCCCAGACUCCUACGGGAGGCAGCAGUGGGGAAUAUUGCACAAUGGGGGAAACCCUGAUGCAGCGACGCCGCGUGGGGGAUGACGGCCUUCGGGUUGUAAACCUCUUUCAGUAGGGAAGAAGCGARAGUGACGGUACCUGCAGAAGAAGUACCGGCUAACUACGUGCC